AUACUAUGGUGAGGACAUCUCCUGAGUAGCUCCUUAAAUCUUUCCCAUACAUCAUACAAACUUUCAUCUUCAAGUUGAUGGAAAGAUGUGAUCUCGUUCCUUAAUUU
rfam:Citrus sinensis cultivar Ridge Pineapple sweet orange scaffold04056_contig_1, whole genome shotgun sequence.